GACGAACGCUGGCGGCGUGCUUAACACAUGCAAGUCGAACGGAAAGGCCCUGCUUUUGUGGGGUGCUCGAGUGGCGAACGGGUGAGUAACACGUGAGUAACCUGCCCUUGACUUUGGGAUAACUUCAGGAAACUGGGGCUAAUACCGGAUAGGAGCUCCUGCUGCAUGGUGGGGGUUGGAAAGUUUCGGCGGUUGGGGAUGGACUCGCGGCUUAUCAGCUUGUUGGUGGGGUAGUGGCUUACCAAGGCUUUGACGGGUAGCCGGCCUGAGAGGGUGACCGGGCACAUUGGGACUGAGAUACGGCCCAGACUCCUACGGGAGGCAGCAGUGGGGAAUAGUGCACAAUGGGCGGAAGCCUGAUGCAGCAACGCCGCGUGCGGGAUGACGGCCUUCGGGUUGUAAACCGCUUUCGCCUGUGACGAAGCGUGAGUGACGGUAAUGGGUAAAGAAGCACCGGCUAACUACGUG
rnacentral:rRNA from 1 species